CUAUUUUUGGGGCAUGGGUUUACUUCUCCCACUCAUUUUGAGUAUCCAAAAACUUCCUCAGCUCCUUUUCACACCUGAAACUCUUGCACCAGCCGGAUUUAGUGUCAGCUCUCGGAAAACACAACCUGCCUGAUUUGGUUUUUCUAUCCUCUGUGUCUUUCUCUUACCCAUCUUUCUCUCUCUCUCCGACGUUUUCUCUUACCCAUCAUCUCUCUCUCUCCCAGAUUUUCAGUUGGGUUCCCCAUCUCUCUCUCCCUCCAAUGUUUUAUUGGGUUUUCUCAACUUUAUUUGCAAAGUUUCUAUUACCAAUUGAUAAGUCUAUAUGCUGUGAUUUUCCGCUGAGCUAUGAUGAAGAACCCCUCCUCAAUAACAGUCGACUACUAUCUGAGGGCCGAAUGUUAUCGCAAAAUUGGGACACCACUGCGUUGAACACAAAAGAUGCAAGAGAAUUAGAAGAAGAAACAACUGAUGAGACAGAGUUAACCUUUAAAAAGAAACAUAGCCCGUUGACCAGAAUGCUUUAUCAUCUGGCGUAUUCAUCAGAGAAUAACACAUUUGUUCAUCUGCAAAACUUCUGCAACAUUUAACAAGUGCAAUCCUGCGACUGUCAUGAGAGAGAAUCAAAUUCCAGAACAAUUGAACACGACCCAACUGAAAAAGGUGAAGAAGUCCAGGAAGGUACGGGCCCAACAUCUUGACAACUCCAAAUGAUUUUGUGAUUGGGUUUAUCAAGAGGGAAAAAUGUUCCAUUGCCAUGUCUUCAAACUGGGUUAUCAAGAGGAUAUAUAUGUGCAAAAUACUCAAUCAAUAUGUAUGCAAACUGCGAUGGUUUGGAAAGCGCACACAAAGUGUUUGAUAAAAUGAUCAAUAAAGACUACCAUGAUUGCCUUGUAUGCGGAAAUGGACAUGAGUGAGGAGGCUUUGGAUCUCUUUGGACAAAUGGGUUCUACCAAUGCGAGCCCAAAUGAAUUUGCAUUAGUGAAUGUAUUGAUGGCUUGCACAAAGUCUGGAGACUUAGAAUUGGGUAAACAAGUUCAUGAAUACAUAGAGAGCAAUGGUAUUGAGCUUAAUUUUAGGGAAAAUUACUAAAAACAGCCCAAAUUGUACUUUCUAAACACUUUACCCCCACCCCAAUCUUUUCUCAUUUCUUUUUGGUAAAAACCAUAUUUUCUAACUAAUACCCCUCAACUGAAAAAGGUAUAUUUUGUUUGACAAAAACAACCCUUCCCAUACCUUGAACGUACGACCAAAUCCUUCUGACAGACCCCAAUAAACCUUUCACCGGACUGAGUUUCUAAACUACUGGAGUGCUUAUGAGACAACAAUAUGCCGGAUCGAAUAUCUAAAACACCGGAUUGAACCAACUCCAAUAGUAAUAUUACCGGAGUUAUACUACAAAUCACCGGUCUGCACAUUAAACAAAUUGCUGGACCGCUCAGAGACAUGACCGGACUGACCCGCUAGGAACGUAAUUGCCGAAUUGAAGCUCCAAAACUCCGAACUAUUUGACGUAGCCAUAUUCAACUAUGCCGGACUACUUCAGUGUAUUCGUCGGAGUGCUUGUGUUUCUAGGAAGCAUAUCGCCGGGGUGAUGCGGUGAAUCGCCGGACCGCAAAAUUUCCAGGGAGGAAACUGCCGGUUCAAUGUUCUUCACAUGCCGGAGCGCUCUUCACAAGUGCCGGAGUUGUUAAUUUGACAGUGAACUACCCACUGGAGUGAGUUCACUAAAUGCCAGAGUGCAUUCUAAUGGUGCCGGAGUGCGUUUUACAAGUGCCGGAGUGCCUAUUUUACAGUCAACUAUUCGCUGGAGCGAGUUCAUCAAUUGUCGGAGGGAAUUCUAAAGAUGCUGGAGCACGUUUUACAUGUGCCGGACUGCCUAUUUAAUAGUGAACUAUUCUCCAGAGUGCAUUCCAUACGUGCCGGAGGUAAAAUUGGGAUAGUGGCUACAAGGAGGCCUUGUUCUUUCGCGAUGUGCAAGUUUUGAAAAUGAAAACAUAUGAAGUGACAAUGAUGAGCUUGUUAAUAGCUUGUACACAUUUGGAGGCUCUACAGAUGGGGAAAUGGGUUCAUUUGCAUAUCGAAAAGGAAAAGAUAGAAGUAGAUAUAUUUUUAGGUGCAGCAUUAGUGGACUUUUAUGCAAAAUGUGGAUUGAUAGAUAGUGCUUGGAGGGUCUUUAAGGGAAUGGCUAAGAAGAAUGUCUUAACUUGGACUUCUUUGAUUGGAGGUUUCUCGAUGUGUCGUCAAGGCCAAAAUGCUAUACAGCUCUUUGAAGAGACGCAAAAACUGGACUAAAAGCUGAUGCCAUUACUUUUGUUGGGGUUCUAACGGCUUGUAGUCAUGGAUGUUUGGUUGAAGAGGGUCGCCAAUAUUUUGAUAUUGAUUCAAUGAUGAUGACUGUAUGAUAUCGAGCCUAAAGUUGAGCACUACAGCUGUAUGGUUGAUAUAUUGGGUAGGGCUGGCCACUUGGUUGAGGCUGAGGAAUAGAUAAGAAACAUGCCCAUGAAACCGGAUGCUUUUGUUUUGGGAAGCCUACUUAAUGCUUGUAGGAUUCAGGGUAACCUUGCGAUUGCUCAAAGAGUAGCUCAAAAGGCUUCUAGAGUUAGACCCUAGUAAUGGAGGAGUUGCACGUUGUAGUACUUGUGUUCCAUUGUUUUUUCUUCUCCAACUUGAUCUCUCAAAUCAACAGCAACGGCACCUGCAAAAUUAUGAAAAUCAAGAAGUUCUAGUCAAAUAAAUUAAGGCAAUAUGAGAUAGAAAGACGUAAGAAAUUGAGUACCAAAUUGAAAUGGAUUGAUGUUGUAAACCUACUCUACAAAACCCUUCAGUAGUGUAUGGACGCUCACGAAUUCUUGAAUGAAGGCGUUGAUUGACUCUGAACAAGCAGUAGUAGUCAUCCUAUCAAAGAAAGAGCUCUUCAAAUAUGGAAAUGCUCAAUGCUUGCAAUGUGAAUACAAAUUUUGAA